rnacentral:tRNA from 1 species
UCCGAGUGGUUAAGGAGUGAGACUUGAAAUCUCAUACGCUUUGCGUGCGCAGGUUCAAACCCUGCAGGCGACG